rnacentral:rRNA from 1 species
UACGAGGGGGGCAAGCGUUGUUCGGAAUUAUUGGGCGUAAAGGGCGCGUAGGCGGUGCGGUAAGUCAUCUGUGAAAUCUCCGGGCUCAACUCGGAGUCUGCAGGCGAAACUGCCGUGCUGGAGUAUGGGAGAGGUGAGUGGAAUUCCCGGUGUAGCGGUGAAAUGCGUAGAUAUCGUCAAGAACACCGAUUGCGUAGGCAGCUUACUAAGCUUUAACUGACGCUGAGGCACGAAAGUGUGGGGAUCAAACAGG